AUGGGACUCACGCCAGCGCUGACCGCAUCUACCGCAUGCUAGGAAAAGACACACAUAAAAUAACUCAUCUUGAGACACAUCUUGGAAGUGCUUCAUUGACACGUCUGAAAAACCUGCUCUGAAAAUCAAUCUGCUCCAUCUGUCAGUAAUUUGAUCAGGUUUUGUGGCUCUUCUCAAACUAUUUAAAGAGACUCGCCAGGCGUCCUGGUGGGAAGAUUUUUGAGUCAGUCCUGCUCACGGCCAAAAACAACAACACCGACGACAGCCAGCUGGUCUCGCUUGACAGACAUGUCAACAUGACUGACACG